rnacentral:rRNA from 1 species
CGCCUGGGUGAACAAUUAAACGGCCGCGGUAUCCUAACCGUGCAAAGGUAGCAUAAUCAUUUGUCUACUAAUUAUAGACCAGUAUGAAAGGCAAAAUGAGGAUCUAACUGUCUCUUAUAUUAAAUCAAUUAAACUGAUCUCCUAGUAAAAAAGCUAGAAUUCCACCAUAAGACCAGAAGACCCUGUGAAGCUUAAAUUAAACUAUUAAACCCAAUAAUAACUAAUUUCGGUUGGGGUGACCUUGGAAAAAAAAAGAACUUCCACACAUAAUUUAAUUUGAAAGGCUGACAAGCCAAAAACGACCCAGCAUGACUGACAAUUGAACCAAGUUACUCCAGGGAUAACAGCGCAAUCCUCUUCAAGAGCCCAUAUCAAAAAGAGGGUUUACGACCUCGAUGUUGGAUCAGGACAUCCUAAUGGUGCAACCGCUAUUAAGGGUUCGUUUG